GGAAAACUUUGAGGAGGUCCCGGAGAAUGACCAGCAACCUCACAGACAGAAUCCUGGGUACCUUGGAGGCAAAUGAACUGAUGAACCUGGCAGAUUUCCCAUCUUCAAACAAUGAUGGUUCAUGCUGACACUCUGUCCCUGGCUGCAGAGGGCACCUCUUUUUUUGUUCACCUGACAAAAAACAACAAUUGGAUUGGUCUCUCCCAGACCACGUGGUCCUCACAGGCUGCCCAUCAUGGGCCUCAACUCCCCUGACCACGUGGGACAGGCACAAGACCCACAGUACUCUGUUCAGACUCUCUCUCAGGCAUCUGAAAUUUCCAUGGAGACAGAAGGACAAAAGGACAGAGCUGUCUUUUCAACAAAUGUUGCUGGGAGAACUGGAUAUCUACUUGCCGAAGAAUGAAGUCAUACCCUUAUCUCACAGUAUCUACAAAAACUAGCUUAAAAUAGACUAAAGAGCUAAACGGAAAAGUUAAAAUUAUAAAACAUAAGGAGAAAGCUUCAUGGCAUUGGAUUUGGCAGUGAUUUCUUCUUUAUGACACUAAAAGCACAGGCGACAAAAGAAAAAAGACGGAAAUUGGACUCCAAAAUGAAGAAUUUUGCACAUCAAAAGGCACUGUAAACAGAGUAAAAAGACAACCUAUAGGCCGGGCGCGUGGGGCUCACGCCUGUAAUCCCAACACUUUGGGAAGCCGAGGCAGGUGGAUCAUGAAGUCAGGAGAUCGAGACCAUCCUGGCUAACACGGUGAAACCUUAAAAAUACAAAAACAAAAUGAGCCGGGCGUGGUGGCGGGCACCUGUAGUCCCAGCUACUAGAGAGGCUGAGGCGGGAGAAUGGCGUGAACCCAGGAGGCGGAGCUUGCAGCGAGCCGAGAUCGCGCCACUGCACUACAGAGCAAGACUCCGUCUCAAAAAAAAAAAAAAAAGAAAAGAAAAAAAGACAACCUAUAGAAUGCGAGAAAAUGUUUGUAAAUCAAAUUCCUAAUAAAAAAUUAAUAUUCAUAAUAUGUAAAGGACUCCUAUAACUCAACAACAACAAUUAAAAACUAGGCAAAGGACUUCAAUAGACAUUUCUCCAAAUAAGUUAUACAAAUGGCCAAUGAGCCCAGGAAGAGAUGUUCAGCAUCACUAAUCAUUAGGGAAAUGGAAACCAAAACCACAGUGAGAUCCCACCUCACACCCAUUAGGAUGGCUACUAUCAAACAAGCAGAGAAUAGCAGGUGUUGGUGAGGAUGUAGAGGGAUUGGAAGGAACUCUUGCGCAUUGCUGGUGGAAAUGUAAAAUGGUGCAGCUACUAUGGAAAGCAGCACAGAAGUUCCUCAAAAACUUAAAAAUAGAAUUACCAUAUGAUCCAGCAAUUUUGUUUCUAGGUGCAUACCCAAAGGAAUUGAAGGCUGGAACUCAAAGAGUUAUUUGUACACCUAUGUUUGCAACAGCAUCAUUUACAGUAGUGUGAAAAGAUCACCGUGGGCAUGUUAACAUUUUAAAGCAUUUAUGUGAGCAGACAAUGAUUCAUGAAUCUGGUAGCACCAAACUGCAAGUAGUUUGGGCUCCACCAAGAGGGUGUGAGGGGAAAAUUGUUAAAAGGUGAUCAUGAAAGCAAGACAAAGAAAAUAUUUGAUUGGCUAAGGCAGGAAGUCUCCAGUUAGAGGUCAGCUGGAGGUUUCUGAUUGGUAAAUUCUGUAGUGAGAGGUUAGUUAGCAGUUUCUGAAUGGUUAAGCUGGGGUUUCAUUUUCCCAGGCUAUGGUCACUCACACUGAAUGGGGUUUCAGUUUGCUUAUGUAGGAAUCCAAGGUGCUGGGUUCUCAGCCAAAUGGACUCCAAAUUAAUUGUUUUUAACAAUAGCCAAAAGGUUAAUCAGCUCAAAUGUCCACUGAUGGAAUGAGUCAAUUAAUUUGUUUACUUGUCCAUGAAUGAGUAAACAAAAUGUGGUAUAUACAUACAAUUAAAUAUUAUUCAGCCUUAAAAAGGAAGAAAAUUCUGACCCAUGCCAUAAUGUGGAUGAACUUUGAAGACAUUACGCUAAGUAAGAUAAGCCAGUCACAAAAAUAACAAACUCUGUGUGAUUCCCCUCAUAGGGGGUCCAUAGUCAAAUUCAUAGAAACAGAAUAGUGGUUGUGGGGGCUGGGCAGAGGGGGAGUCAUUGUCUAAUUUGUGGUGUUAAAUUAAGCUUAGCCUAAAGCUGACUGCUUACAUAUUUUAAGUUUAGCCUAAAGAUCCCUCCAUACAUGGUGAACUGUCUCCUAACUGGAUGUAUGAACAGAUUGUAACCUACUCUUGUACCAGUCACUGAGUUUCUGCAAAUCAAAGGUGACCAGACCCUGUUUAAAUACGGCAAACAUUGAGCUGUAGCCAAUACAGUAGUUUCUGCACCUCACUUCCAGUUUCUGUACAUUACUUUCCUUUUUCUGUCCAGCGAUCUUUGACCAUGCUGCAGCAACGGGG
rnacentral:lncRNA from 1 species